GAAAGCAGUAGCAACGACAAUCCUUGAUCAAUUUGGAAGAAGGUCCAAUGAUGUCAGGAAAAUAAAGAAAAUCGUACAAAUACAAGCCUUCUCUAAAGCAGUAAAAAUGAAAAGAGAAUUAUACUGUGCUGUUUGCUUACUUGAAGAGGGCUUCCUCACGGCGAAAAUGAUCCCAGCUCAGAGAGGAAAAAAAAGUGAAAUCAUGGCCCGGAGGCUGACACUAGCAACAAAUGAGCUUGUUCACUGAAUGAAUCAGUAAACGCAUCUGCUUAACGUGAUCCUUUUGCAUAGAAGCUGGCUGUAGCCAUCUUUGCCCGCUCAGUCCUGGUACUAUUUACUGUGCUCAAUCCACAGACUUUCUUUCUGUGUGGCCCAGAUGGCAAGUAGACACGUAUGGAGUAGCAUGUCAUGGAAAGAGCCCUUGAGCUGGAACAAGAAAACCUUGAUUCAAAUGACCUGGGUGACGUUAUUCAUAACGUCAGCAAGUAAGGGGGUGAUUGGGACACCCCGUUGGCCUUCAGUGAGCUGCCAGUUCGGAGCCCAGCCUGGAGUGACAAAACAGAAAGAAAACAGCUGCUUUUCUCCAGCAGGGACUCCAGUCCGUUUGAAGCCUAUACGUUAAGAAUAUCCACCCUUUCUUUAACAAGAAGAAAAUCCUUUUGGAGCCACCAUCAGCAUGCAGUCUGUAGACUACUAGCACCAGCUUCAAGAUACGGAAGAAAAUGUGCACAAAGAAAAAAAUCUACCAACAGACAUGACUGAAAUUGGCUCGGACAUAAAAGUGAGCAGUUAGGAGAUGACAUAAAGGAUACGAUAGCCACAGGGUCCGCGAGGAACAGAGGGAGGGAAAGAGGGAGAGAGGGAGAAAAGGGAUAAUCAAGGCAUAAUCAGUGUAUCAGAGAAUAUUUACAAACUUACUCAGCUUUUAAACUCCUCUACCAUUUAAGUUUUACAAGAUCAUUAAGCAGCUACUUUGCCUCAACAGUAUAUUUGAAUUCAAAUACUCUUCUAUGUAUUUGUUAAGUACAGGAAGUUUACUUGUUUCAAUGUCUUACCUGAAG